rnacentral:rRNA from 1 species
AGUGAACGCUGGCGGUAGGCCUAACACAUGCAAGUCGAACGGCAGCACAGUAAGAGCUUGCUCUUACGGGUGGCGAGUGGCGGACGGGUGAGGAAUACAUCGGAAUCUACUUUUUCGUGGGGGAUAACGUAGGGAAACUGACGCUAAUACCGCAUACGACCUACGGGUGAAAGCAGGGGAUCUUCGGACCUUGCGCGAUUGAAUGAGCCGAUGUCGGAUUAGCUAGUUGGCGUGGUAAAGGCCCACCAAGGCGACGAUCCGUAGCUGGUCUGAGAGGAUGAUCAGCCACACUGGAACUGAGACACGGUCCAGACUCCUACGGGAGGCAGCAGUGGGGUAUAUUGGACAAUGGGCGCAAGCCUGAUCCAGCCAUACCGCGUGGGUGAAGAAGGCCUUCGGGUUGUAAAGCCCUUUUGUUGGGAAAGAAAAGCAGCAGGUUAAUACCCCGCUGUUCUGACGGUACCCAAAGAAUAAGCACCGGCUAACUUCGUG